rnacentral:rRNA from 1 species
GACGAACGCUGGCGGCGUGCUUAACACAUGCAAGUCGAACGGAAAGGCCCCCUUGUGGGGUACUCGAGUGGCGAACGGGUGAGUAACACGUGAGUAACCUACCCUUGACUUUGGGAUAACUUCAGGAAACUGGGGCUAAUACCGGAUAGGAGCUCCUGCUGCAUGGUGGGGGUUGGAAAGUUUCGGCGGUUGGGGCUGGACUCGCGGCUUAUCAGCUUGUUGGUGGGGUAGUGGCUCACCAAGGCUUUGACGGGUAGCCGGCCUGAGAGGGUGACCGGCCACAUUGGGACUGAGAUACGCACCAGUCUCCUACGGGAGGCAACAGUGGGGAGUAUUGCACAGUGGGCGGAAGCGUGAUGCAGCGAUGCCGCGUGCGGGAUGACGGCCUUCGGGUUGUAAACCGCUUUCGCCUGUGACGAAGCGUGAGUGACGGUAAUGGGUAAAGAAGCACCGGCUAACUACGUG